UACGAAGGGGGCUAGCGUUGCUCGGAAUGACUGGGCGUAAAGGGCGCGCAGGCGGAUGGCACAGUCAGAUGUGAAAUUCCCGGGCUUAACCUGGGGGCUGCAUUUGAUACGUGUUGUCUAGAGUGAGGAAGAGGGUUGUGGAAUUCCCAGUGUAGAGGUGAAAUUCGUAGAUAUUGGGAAGAACACCGGUGGCGAAGGCGGCAUCCUGGACCAACACUGACGCUGAUGAGCGAAAGCCAGGGGAGCAAACGGG
rnacentral:rRNA from 1 species